rnacentral:rRNA from 1 species
ACGUAGGUGGCAAGCGUUGUCCGGAUUUAUUGGGCGUAAAGCGCGCGCAGGCGGUUCGUUAAGUCCGAGGUGAAAUCUCCCGGCUCAACUGGGAGGGGUCUUCGGAUACUGGCGGACUUGAGGAGAGCAGAGGUGAGUGGAAUUCUCGGUGUAGUGGUGAAAUGCGUAGAUAUCGAGAGGAACACCAGCGGCGAAGGCGGCUCACUGGGCUCCACCUGACGCUGAGGCGCGAAAGCGUGGGGAGCGAACCGGAUUAGAUACCCGGGUAGUCCACGCUGUAAACGAUGGGCACUAGGUGUGAGGGGUAUUGACCCCCUUUGUGCCGAAGCUAACGCAAUAAGUGCCCCGCCUGGGGAGUACGGCCGCAAGGCUA